GUAGUCCUGACCAUAAACGAUGUCAACUAAGGAUUGGAUAAGAAACAUCGAAGUAUGAGCCUUUUUCUCCAACUUGUUGGAAAAAAAGCGUUUCGCUUCAUUUCUUCCCUUAUUCAGGACUUGAUGAGAAAUCAUUAAGUGAAAUGGACUUCAGGGGGAGUAUGGUCACAAGGCUGAAACUU
rnacentral:rRNA from 1 species